rnacentral:rRNA from 1 species
UACGUAGGGGGCAAGCGUUGUCCGGAAUCAUUGGGCGUAAAGGGCGCGUAGGCGGCGUGACAAGUCACUUGUGAAAUCUCCGGGCUUAACUCGGAACGGUCAAGUGAUACUGUCGUGCUAGAGUACAGAAGGGGCAACUGGAAUUCUCGGUGUAGCGGUGAAAUGCGUAGAUAUCGAGAGGAACACCUGCGGCGAAGGCGGGUUGCUGGGCUGAUACUGACGCUGAGGCGCGAAAGCCAGGGGAGCGAACGGG